rnacentral:rRNA from 1 species
AGAGUUUUGAUCCUGGCUCAGAGCGAACGCUGGCGGCAGGCUUAACACAUGCAAGUCGAACGGGCGUAGCAAUACGUCAGUGGCAGACGGGUGAGUAACGCGUGGGAACGUACCUUUUGGUUCGGAACAACUGAGGGAAACUUCAGCUAAUACCGGAUAAGCCCUUACGGGGAAAGAUUUAUCGCUGAAAGAUCGGCCCGCGUCUGAUUAGCUAGUUGGUGAGGUAAGAGCUCACCAAGGCGACGAUCAGUAGCUGGUCUGAGAGGAUGAUCAGCCACACUGGGACUGAGACACGGCCCAGACUCCUACGGGAGGCAGCAGUGGGGAAUAUUGGACAAUGGGCGCAAGCCUGAUCCAGCCAUGCCGCGUGAGUGAUGAAGGCCCUAGGGUUGUAAAGCUCUUUUGUGCGGGAAGAUAAUGACGGUACCGCAAGAAUAAGCCCCGGCUAACUUCGUGCCAGCAGCCGCGGUAAUACGAAGGGGGCUAGCGUUGCCCGGAAUCACUGGGCGUAAAGGGUGCGUAGGCGGCUCUUUAAGUCAGGGGUGAAAUCCUGGAGCUCAACUCCAGAACUGCCUUUGAUACUGAGGAUCUUGAGUUCGGGAGAGGUGAGUGGAACUGCGAGUGUAGAGGUGAAAUUCGUAGAUAUUCGCAAGAACACCAGUGGCGAAAGGCGGCUCACUGGCCCGAUACUGACGCUGAGGCACGAAAGCGUG